GUAAAAUGAAGCGUUGCCGUAAAUCAACAGUAAUUAAAUCUCUGUGUGACUGUUUAACGGUUCUCAUAGGUUUCUAUGUAAGCUCCAAUGUCCCUGGCGUUAGUGAAGUCAUAACUUUGCCUUGAACUGUACGGAGACGCGAAGUUUCCUUAAGCUAAUGCAGUCUGAUUAAAAGCUAGCGUUAACGGUCAACCGUUAAGCUAGCCGUGUUGGCGUUAAUUAACGUCAGGGGUUUAACGAUGUUAAACUCUCCUACUUAAUUGCAAGCGAAUGCUUUGAAUCUACUGGUUAUCGUGUAGCGACGUGGGUUGCUCAUGAAGACAAAUUCUUAUUAACAAACGACUGAAGUGAGGAUGCCGGUAGCCGCCAUAACACCGGAAACGCCAGAACCGCGCGUGAAGGUGAUAUACAGCAAUGACCGGCAGGUGGCGCAGUGGACACACUUGAUUUCAAACAUGAUAGGAUAACUUCUGUAUGUAUGUAUGUGUUUUGUAGGAGGUUUUACAAAUAAUAAACUUAAACUUUAAAAAAUUAAUACUCCUGGAAUGUGGUAUGUAACAUCAUCUGUAGGUCUGGGAAUAUUAAAACUUCUAGGAGUUUAUAAUUUGUGGAAAAGCAACAAAAGAUUUAUGUAAAUGAUGAACUGCAAUU